GGACAACCUGCCCUUAGGUUGGGUAUAAACCCGGGAAACUGGGUAUAAUCCCCUAUAAGUCUCGGCUGCUGGAAUGCACCGAGAUUAAAAGCUCCGGCGCCUAAGGAUGGGUCUGCGGCCUAUCAGGUAGUAGUGGGUGUAGCGUACCUACUAGCCUACGACGGGUACGGGUUGUGAGAGCAAGAGCCCGGAGAUGGAUUCUGAGACACGAAUCCAGGCCCUACGGGGUGCAGCAGGCGCGAAAACUUUACAAUGCUGGCAACAGCGAUAAGGGAACCUCGAGUGCCAGGUUACAAAUCUGGCUGUCGAGAUGCCUAAAAAGCAUUUCAUAGCAAGGGCCGGGCAAGACCGGUGCCAGCCGCCGCGGUAACACCGGCGGCUCGAGUGGUAACCGUUAUUAUUGGGUCUAAAGGGUCUGUAGCCGGCCGGAUAAGUCUCUUGAGAAAUCUGGCAGCUUAACUGUCAGGCUUUCAGGAGAUACUGUCUGGCUCGAGGCCGGGAGAGGUGAGAGGUACUUCAGGGGUAGGGGUGAAAUCUUGUAAUCCUUGAAGGACCACCAGUGGCGAAGGCGUCUCACCAGAACGGACCUGACGGCAAGGGACGAAAGCUAGGGGCACGAACCGGACUAGAUACCCGGGUAGUCCUAGCCGUAAACGAUACUCGCUAGGUGUCGGCCACGGUGCGACCGUUGUCGGUGCCGUAGGGAAGCCGUGAAGCGAGCCACCUGGGAAGUACGGCCGCAAGGCUGAAACUUAA
rnacentral:rRNA from 1 species